GCCAAUCAGGGCUCUGGUUGAAAGUAGUGCACUACUACAGUAACCACAGAGGGUUUAGCCAAUCAGGGCUCUGGUUGAAAGUAGUGCACUACUACAGUAACCACAGAGGGGUUAGCCAAUCAGAGCUCUGUUUGAAAGUAGUGCACUACUACAGUAACCACAGAGGGUUUAGCCAAUCAGGGCUCUGGUUAAAAGUAGUGCACUACUACAGUAACCACAGAGGGGUUAGCCAAUCAGCUCUGGUUAAAAGUAGUGCACUAUAUAGGGAAUAGUGCUCCAUUUGGGGAGUAGUUCAUCUGGUUGUAGGUAGUGUACUAUAUAGGGAACAGGGCUCCAUUUGGGGAGUAGUUCAUCUGGUUGUAGGUAGUGUACUAUAUAGGGAACAGGGCUCCAUUUGGGGAGUAGUUCAUCUGGUUGUAGGUAGUGUACUAUAUAGGGAACAGGGCUCCAUUUGGGGAGUAGUUCAUGUAAAUACAAAAUAUAUAAUGUCAUUUUUUUUCCCACAGCAGAAGAAUGGAUGUUUUUUUUAAAAACUUGCAUCUUGAGCUGCUUUUCUAUUUACUAAUAUAUUUAAAUGUUGUGCUUAUUUAUUUCUGUUGAUUUGUUGUCUUCUAUGUGGACAGGGACAGGAAAGAGACCUGUUUAUUUGGUUUGUUAAAUACGUCUUUUCACAACGUU